UAAAGGAAUUGGCGGGGGAGCACUACAACGGGUGGAGCCUGCGGUUUAAUUGGAUUCAACGCCGGGAAGCUCACCGGGGGAGACAGCUCGAUGAAGGUCGGGCUGAAGACCCUACCAGAGUAGCUGAGAGGUGGUGCAUGGCCGCCGUCAGUUCGUACUGUGAAGCAUCCUGUUAAGUCAGGCAACGAGCGAGACCCGCGCCCCCAGUUGCCAGCNGGUCCCUUCGGGGACGCCGGGCACACUGGGGGGACUGCCGGCGCUAAGCCGGAGGAAGGUGCGGGCAACGGCAGGUCCGUAUGCCCCGAAUCCCCCGGGCUACACGCGGGCUACAAUGGCCGGGACAAUGGGUACCGACCCCGAAAGGGGUAGGUAAUCCCCUAAACCCGGCCUUACCUGGGAUCGAGGGCUGCAACUCGCCCUCGUGAACCUGGAAUCCGUAGUAAUCGCGCCUCAAAAUGGCGCGGUGAAUACGUCCCUGCUCCUUGCACACACCGCCA
rnacentral:rRNA from 1 species